UACGGAGGGAGCUAGCGUUAUUCGGAAUUACUGGGCGUAAAGCGCACGUAGGCGGCUUUGUAAGUUAGAGGUGAAAGCCUGGAGCUCAACUCCAGAAUUGCCUUUAAGACUGCAUCGCUUGAAUCCAGGAGAGGUGAGUGGAAUUCCGAGUGUAGAGGUGAAAUUCGUAGAUAUUCGGAAGAACACCAGUGGCGAAGGCGACUCACUGGACACAUAUUGACGCUGAGGUGCGAAAGCGUGGGGAGCAAACAGG
rnacentral:rRNA from 1 species